GAUGAACGCUGGCGGCGUGCCUAAUACAUGCAAGUCGAGCGAACAGACGAGGAGUUUGCUCCUCUGACGUUAGCGGCGGACGGGUGAGUAACACGUGGAUAACCUACCUAUAAGACUGGGAUAACUUCGGGAAACCGGAGCUAAUACCGGAUAAUAUAUUGAACCGCAUGGUUCAAUAGUGAAAGACGGUUUUGCUGUCACUUAUAGAUGGAUCCGCGCCGCAUUAGCUAGUUGGUAAGGUAACGGCUUACCAAGGCAACGAUGCGUAGCCGACCUGAGAGGGUGAUCGGCCACACUGGAACUGAGACACGGUCCAGACUCCUACGGGAGGCAGCAGUAGGGAAUCUUCCGCAAUGGGCGAAAGCCUGACGGAGCAACGCCGCGUGAGUGAUGAAGGUCUUCGGAUCGUAAAACGCUGUUAUUAGGGAAGAACAAAUGUGUAAGUAACUAUGCACGUCUUGACGGUACCUAAUCAGAAGGCCACGGCUAACUACGU
rnacentral:rRNA from 1 species